rnacentral:rRNA from 1 species
AGAUUGAACGCUGGCGGCAGGCCUAACACAUGCAAGUCGAGCGGUAGAGAGGUGCUUGCAUCUCUUGAGAGCGGCGGACGGGUGAGUAAUGCCUAGGAAUCUGCCUAGUGGUGGGGGAUAACGUUCGGAAACGGACGCUAAUACCGCAUACGUCCUACGGGAGAAAGCGGGGACCUU